AAAUUCCCCCACCUUCCCAUGUGUGUGCGUUGUCUGUCGCUCUUGUUCUAACGCGCGGCCAACCCAACCAUUCGUACCUCGUCCCUCUGCACGUCGCAGUCUUCCACACACAGCACCAGACGUGGGUUCGGUUCGUUGGUCUUUUCCCACGCCGUGCGACGGGACCACCUUUUUUUGUUGCUGCUGUUGUUUGCCUCCUUCUCGCCCAUUCCCUACACGAUCCAAGUAGCAGCUGACCCAUAAACCUUCACGCACGCACACAGGGAGAAACGUAGUGCGAAGGGCGAAGCGCGCUCCUCUCGGUCGUCGUCGUCGUCGUCAUCGUCAAACGUCGACAGGAUGUAAACAAUCUAGCAGGCGAAAGAACGGGAGCGCACAGACACACACACACACACACACACGCGCAUAUGUAUCGCCACGGCACGGUGGGAAAAAAAAACAGGAGGGAGGGAACCUUAUGCGUGCACUUAUGCGCUGCUCUGUGGGAACUUCGGAUGCCGAAACUGGGGAAAAGAAGAACGAUUCUUCUUCUGCCCGUUCUGCUUUUUCCCCCUGCAAGCAGCAGCAGCACCAGACCAGACCAGAGGGGUCUUGAAUUCCCACACUUUGCGGCACUCGUCCGGAACGGUGCGCACCAAACACACGCAAAAGGGGGAAAGUAAAGACGAAUGCCGUCGCACCUUGAAGGUCGAAGAUUCGGGCAGUUUCUCACAUUUCCACGCUUAGCGCCAGCGUAGAAGUGAGCCUCUUUUCCUUUGCGCGCACACGGGAGGCUUCCAUCCGGUGGCGGUGAGAACAGAAGAGAGUCCCGGUUGAGGGCAGUUCGAUCGUUCCGGUUGAAGUCUGCAAAUGUGUCGCAAGGGAGUCACCGUAAAUGCAGCUACUGCAUGAGAAAGGGAGGAAGCAUUCAAAGAGAAAGUCAUUGAACCUUGCCACGAAUGGGAGCAUCUCCCAUAACCCAUCCCAACCCAUCACUCGUUCGACUGCUCAGGUUACCCCGGUACGUGUAUUGCUCACCGUAAGCAGGCUUGAGAAAGUCCACACUCAACGUUCUCACACGAUGAUGAUGAUGAUGAUGAUGACGCCGCCCUACCAUACCGUCGUGCCCUCUUCUCGACCCUUUCCCUUUGGUGGGAUCCUUUUUUUCCGCAAGGAUUCCUCAACACACACGCGCCUUCCCUCGUUGCUCCGUUUCGUACGACGAAGAAGGAAACCCUAAAAAGGAACACACACACACACACACACACCCCGUAACGCGAGUAGGCCGAAGAAGUGUGAGAAAAAAGUUAAUCCUCCCCGCUGCCCGGAAGCCCUUGCCGUGCUCGGGACGUCCGUUUUUUUUCAUUUCUUUUGCUUCACUUAUCGCCCUCUCUCUCUCUCUCUCUCUCUCUCUCUCUCUCUCUCUCUCUCUCUCUCUCUCGCUCGCUCGCUCGCUGAAGGGAAUGGUUCAAUCCGGCGAGGAGAUGGCAAUUUAGCACCGAAGCACCAGUCCGGUGGAAGAUGUUUUGUGCCUUCCUGUUUGCUUCUCUUUUGAUGUGGUAACAGUUCCUACGGACGCCACACAAAUAUUGCGCACAAGUGGCGGAUGGAGAGGAAAUGGAAUCGAUGUGGCCGGUGGUGGUGUUGUUGGUCAGUUGGUUGCGAGACCGACCGAGGAGUGGUAAUAUAAUUAAAUUGAUGUCAUUGAUUCGUUUUUGGUAAGCUUUUUUUUAGCGGUAAUGUUUGGAGCAUUUAGGAAAGAAGAGAAUAAAUAGAUUAA